CUCCCUAGCGGCAAGUCGGCCCUGGUGCACCGCUACCUGACCGGCACCUACGUGCAGGAGGAGUCUCCGGAAGGUGGCCGAUUUAAGAAGGAGAUUGUAGUGGAUGGCCAGAGUUACUUGCUGCUGAUUCGCGAUGAAGGGGGCCCCCCUGAACUGCAGUUUGCCGCCUGGGUUGAUGCCGUGGUGUUUGUCUUCAGCCUGGAGGAUGAAAUCAGCUUCCAGACAGUGUAUAACUACUACGUGCUGGU